GGAGCGGCGUCAGUGCAGUGCGGAGCGUCUCGACGAGCGGUACGUGCACGCUCGGCGGCGCCGAGCAGAGCGCGACGGGCGCGGGACCGGCCACCACCAGGUGCUCGCCUCUCAUCCACCAACUGCCACCGCUGUGCUUUUGUCUUGCAUAUCAACCGUGUGCUUGUCCGUCCCGUUCUGUUCGGCGCGCCGUGCGUCGGCGGCGGCCCCGCCGCCCCCGAGCACGUGCCCCGGCUUCAGCGAAUAACCGUGUGCUUUUCCAGGCCCCUUGUAGUUUGCGUAGUGUGCCGUCCGUCCGUCCUCCUGUGCACCAUGACGCGGUGUUCCGCCCCGGCGCCGCCGCCGCCAGCGUGACCAGGCGGCCCGACGCGCCUCGGAUCUGACGCGAGUAGGGACCGAUAACAGGUGCGUUAUCUUAUCUCGACACGUACAGGUGAGAUUGGCCAGUUUCGUGGCUGAGUCUCACCGACUAUGUUGCACUCGCUGGACGCGCUAGCAGGCAAGUUGUCCCCGGGAGCGCCGCCCGCGCAGAACGGCCCCCAGGCCUCCGUGCUGGACACCAACGCCAACAGAGUGCAUCCCUACAUGAAGCAGAGUCCCAACGCCAACGCCACCUCACUGGCGAUGAACAACAACAACAACAGCAGUACGAACAACAACAACAGCAAUAGCAACAACAACAAUUUGCUGAGUUCGUCGCAACAAAACAAUGCCAAAAUCGAACAAGAGCAACCGGACAGUGAUACGAUCAAGAUGUUCGUGGGGCAGGUGCCCCGGUCCAUGGACGAAAACGAUCUCAGAAGGAUGUUUGAAGAAUACGGACGCGUACACUCGAUCAACGUCCUUAGGGACAAAACCACGGGAGCCAGUAAAGGUUGUUGCUUCGUGACGUUCUUUACAAGAAAGGCAGCUCUUCAGGCGCAGGACGCUUUACACAAUGUGAAAACCUUAAACGGGAUGCAUCAUCCCAUCCAGAUGAAGCCCGCCGACAGCGAGAAUAGAAACGAAAGAAAAUUGUUCGUGGGCAUGCUCAGCAAGAAGCUGUGCGAGAACGACGUCCGAACCCUCUUCAGCGGCUACGGCACCAUCGAGGAGUGCACCGUGCUGCGGGAUACGGCCGGGAAUUCGAAAGGGUGCGCGUUCGUCACGUUCGCCAGCAAACAGUCAGCUCUUAGUGCCAUAAAAGCCCUCCAUCAGUCGCAAACGAUGGAAGGGUGUUCGGCUCCUCUAGUCGUCAAAUUCGCCGACACACAAAAAGAAAAAGAACUGAAACGGCAGCAGCAGAUCCAGGCGAAUGUCUGGAACGCGUUGGCGGCGCCUCAGCUGCAGACGUCUCCGCAACAGUUCAGUCCGGUCCUGUCGAACGACGCGACGUCCCUGCAACUGUUGCAGGCGAUGAGCGGCGGCUCGGCGCUUCUGCCGCAGCAGCUUUUAACCGGCGCCGAGAACCUGUUGGCGCCUUUGGGGGUGCAAAACUUGGUCACGUUGGCGGCGAUGUCGCAACCGACCGCCGCCCCCUUGUGUGUAGCUAAUCUGUUAGGCAAAGGUGCGGGUGUUGAAAGAACUUUGACCACCGGACUUCAGACGGGCAUGUCCACGUCGGACUUGUCCACCUAUGGGUCGCUUAUCACCAAUGCUACGCUCAACGCCGCCGCCAUCGCGGCAGCAGGAAAGCAAAUUGAAGGUCCGGACGGUUGCAAUUUGUUUAUCUACCACCUGCCGCAGGAAUUUACCGAUACGGACUUGGCGUCGACGUUCCUGCCGUUCGGUCCUGUGAUCUCUGCGAAGGUGUUCAUAGACAAACAAACGAAUUUGUCGAAGUGUUUCGGUUUCGUGUCGUUCGACAACGCGACGUCGGCCCAGCAGGCCAUCGCCGCGAUGAACGGGUUCCAGAUAGGCACCAAGCGGCUCAAGGUGCAGCUGAAGAGGGCCAAAGACGCGUCCAAGCCCUACUAGCCAAAGAGACAGCCAGUCGUACUCGUAUUCACAAGUACAACCACCAGCACAGUGCCAGUGUCUUGUGCCCAUCUCAGGAUAUCGUCUAGCUGCUAUUUAUACGAACUGUGAGAUAUUUUUACUAGUUAACUGCGGCGGUCUCGCUGCUUGUAAAUUGAUAAAUGAUUAUGUAUUUGACGAAUGACGAGGAUGUUCGGCAACAAUAAGUGUUAUGUUUCUAUUAUUACUGUCAUGUUUGGUUCGAUAGGUUUUGUAAGUUGUGUUUCGUGGCGUUCGCGCGUAGACAUCCUCUGUUGUUUAGUUCUAUCGUCUAGGCCAUAAAUGUAAAUGUUGAGUGAUUAUUUCGUUUAGUUCUGAGUCUACUUUAUAUUAUCAUUUAUUUAUAUGCGCAUGUAUUUGAUGAAUUGUACCUUUAUUUUCUAUUGUUGAUUAAACCAAAGUUAGACCAAACACCCGACCAAUGUCUUUAAUAUUAUGCAGGGUCUUAUUACACUCACGCCCAAGCCAAACAGACAGGACCCUUAAAAUGAUAAAGCUAACCCGCUUUCGCUACGAAAUUAAAUGUCUCCCCUAACAACACAAUUACUCUUCCGCCAUACGAAGACAAAUACAUAACUUCGUGUUUUUACAUGAGGGUUUGUGUGCCUGCCUGAUAACAGUAUUGAUCACCUGUCUGGUUGGUGAUGGGUUAACUGUAGUAGCAUUUUACCGCAGCUGUUCUUAGUGCUGUUGUAAUACCACCUAGUGUCUACCAGUACUACUGUGUCUUUCUGGCGCGGUCCAGCAGUGCCGUCGCGUGUGGCUUCUGUCUAUGUCUACUAAUGUUAAUGUCUUCAUUGAAGUGCGAGCUGAGAUUUGCGCCGCAGUUCCUCGAGCGAACGCAUGGUAUCAAGCGAACCUCGGUGUAUCAUGGCCCGCUCCUGCAGUCCGGAGUACCCCAUGGGCACUCGCUGAGCUGGAGAUGGGCUCUGGGAAGACCGUGAACUGAAGGGUUGCUGAAACGUGUCACAAAACACUGAUAGUCUGAAUCAAGUACAAAUUAUCCCUUUUUGAUAAAUAAAGAUUUUUAUUUUU